rnacentral:rRNA from 1 species
AUGACGGCGGCUACGUCGUUUCCUUCUUGGAGGCAUGGCCUUGGAGAGUCAGCAUCUUGCGGUUUGCACGGAUCUCUUCAUCGUCGGGGACAAUGGACGUUGGGGCGGCUGCUCCGGGUGGUUUCUGGUUGUGCGCCGAGAUGGCGAUCUCGGGAACAAUGCGAGUGGCAGGUCUAUGAGGUGGGGCUCUGGCUCAACAUUGGUUGGGUGGCAUUUUUGUUCCGCUUGGGUGGUAGGGAUGUCGGCUCAGUCGAUGCGUCCCAGAAGGGGCGGUCUGACUUUAUGUCAGGGCGGCGGCCCCGGAUGUGGUGCGACGUUCGUGGUCUGCGAGCGGUUGGCCUGAGCAGCGUGGGCUGUGGGCAGCUGGGUUGUGCGGUGUUGCUGCUCAAGGGAGUGGUGGUAUGUCGGGGCGGCGGCCCCGAGAGAAUCAUUGUGGCGAUCGGGCUUCUGUGGCAACGAUGGUAG